CAGGGAGAGACUGUUUGUAACCCUGCGGUUCACUUCGCGCGCGCGAGCGAGCGCGCAUCAGCCCCCACCCCUCCUGAGGGCAGCGCCGGCCGCGCACGCCUACUAUUUUGAGAACAAAGGAAGGCAAAAUAUAGAACCCCGGAGAGAGGGUGCAGGGGACGUCUAGACCCUCCCGCCUUGCACGCGCGCACACCCUCAACACACAAGCGGCUGUGAGCAGAGGCGGGGAGGCGACAGGCGAGGCCGAAGAACUCCGAGGGCGCCGGAAGAAACGCCUGCCUGGAGGACGGAGGGGCGCGGCUGCGUAGGCCUCCUCUCCCAGUGGCCGCUAGGGAUCUGGAAGGGGCACAGAGGUGUCGGCUCCCUCAUUCCAGCCUUGUCUCGCUUCUGCUCCGUCUGGCGGGGGAGGAGUGUGAGACUGGCCUGCGGGG
rnacentral:lncRNA from 1 species